rnacentral:rRNA from 1 species
AAUCAACGCUGGCGGCGUGCCUAAUACAUGCAAGUCGAGCGAGAAGACGUAGCAAUACGUUUGUAAAGCGGCGAACGGGUGAGGAAUACAUGGGUAACCUACCCUAGAGUGGGGAAUAACUAGCCGAAAGGUUAGCUAAUACCGCGUACGCUCCUUGGACUUCGGUUCAGGGAGGAAAGCGAUGCCGAGGGUAUCGCGCUCUUGGAUGGGCUCAUGUCCUAUCAGCUUGUUGGGAGGUAACGGCUCACCAAGGCUUCGACGGGUAGCUGGUCUGAGAGGACGAUCAGCCACACUGGCACUGCGACACGGGCCAGACUCCUACGGGAGGCAGCAGUGGGGAAUCUUGCGCAAUGGGCGAAAGCCUGACGCAGCGACGCCGCGUGA